UAGGGAAUCUUCGGCAAUGGACGAAAGUCUGACCGAGCAACGCCGCGUGAGUGAUGAAGGUUUUCGGAUCGUAAAACUCUGUUGCCAGGGAAGAAUGACGAGGCGAGUAACUGCGCUUCGUGUGACGGUACCUGAGAAGAAAGCCCCGGCUAACUACGUGCCAGCAGCCGCGGUAAUACGUAGGGGGCAAGCGUUGUCCGGAAUUAUUGGGCGUAAAGCGCGCGCAGGCGGUUGUUUAAGUCUGGUGUAUAAACCAAGGGCUCAACCUUUGGACGCAUUGGAAACUGGGCAACUGGAGUGUAGGAGAGGAAAGUGGAAUUCCACGUGUAGCGGUGAAAUGCGUAGAGAUGUGGAGGAACACCAGUGGCGAAGGCGACUUUCUGGCCUAUAACUGACGCUGAGGCGCGAAAGCGUGGGGAGCAAACA
rnacentral:rRNA from 1 species